GUACUCUCAUCUCAUCUUAUCAAUAUAAUAUUUGUGAAAUGAAAUUAAUACUUUUUUUCUAAUUAAAUAAUUUAAGUAAGACGCUUCUCUUUAAAUUAAGAUUCAAAAAAAAACUUUUAUAUCGCGCCUUUAGAAAUGCCUCUCAAAGCACUUUACAUGGGAAACGAAAAUUGAAACAGAAGAAGACGGCAUAAAAGAAGGUAUACAGUAUAAGCAUGCAUCAAUAACAGUUAAUAAUAAAAUACAAUUCAAUAGUAGUAAUAAUAAUUAAAUAAUACAUUUUUAAAAAAUUUAAAAAUUAGAUAAGAUAUAUAUAUUUUUAUAUUUGUCUGGGGAAAAAAAGUGUAUAUAUUUAGAAUAAAUAGUUAUAUUGUUGUACACAUUUGAAUACUGAACCUAAUAUUUUGAGUAGUUGCAUUAUAUUGAUUAUAAAACUGUUCCGAGGGAAACUGCAAUUUAUUUUACAGUUAAAGCGAUCUCUGGCUGCAAAAGCUCUUAAAACCCCUGCGAUAAAUAACAAGCUAAACAAUUCAAGGUAUAGAUAACAAGCUAAAAACUAAAUUACAUAAUCUAUAUGGUGAGUUAAAUAGAUUUUAAUCCAGAACUUUAACCGUAUUUGUGUAGAGGAAAAAGUAAUAUAAAUAAUUUUUGAUUUAUUCAAAUUUAAUUUCCACUCUAAUGAGCAUAUUAUAAUACAGCUACACUAUAAUGCUUUUGAGAGACUCGCCCAGAUCAUUUAACAAAAAAGCAAGGCUGAAUCACACCACACAUUAAAUUCAUGAUUAUUCUGACUGUCAGGAUUAUGAUGAAGAAUGUGGGUUAAAUGUCUUACCAGUGACUCGGACAUGGAUUGAAUUAUUUCCUGAUCCUGUGACAUUCUUUGCGAAAUAUCUUGUAAAUGAGUACACGCAACUGUAGGUACCAGAGUCCAGUAAUGAAAUAUUCCUCAAAGUGAAGGUGUGCUCAUUUUUAUUUACAAGUAGUUUUAAUCUUUCUCCAACACCAUUUGUACACAAAUACAUGUUAACUUCUGUAUUUGAGCUCUGAAUGUUAGAGAUGAGACACUUUAACUC
ensembl:lncRNA